rnacentral:rRNA from 1 species
UUUAACUUGAGAGUUUGAUCCUGGCUCAGAACGAACGCUGGCGGCAGGCCUAACACAUGCAAGUCGAGCGGUCCUUCGGGACAGCGGCGGACGGGUUAGUAA